AUACGGAGGGUGCAAGCGUUGUUCGGAAUCACUGGGCGUAAAGGGCGCGCAGGCGGUUUGGUAAGUCAGAUGUGAAAGCCCACGGCUCAACCGUGGAAGUGCAUUUGAAACUGUCAGACUUGAGUACUAGAGGGGAAAGUGGAAUUCCCGGUGUAGAGGUGAAAUUCGUAGAUAUCGGGAGGAAUACCGGUGGCGAAGGCGACUUUCUGGCUAGAUACUGACGCUGAGACGCGAAAGCGUGGGGAGCAAACAGGAUUAGAAACCCCGGUAGUCC
rnacentral:rRNA from 1 species